GUCUGACCUGCCCACUGAAAAUAAUUUGAAGGGCCGCAGUAUCUUGACUGUGCAAAGGUAGCAUAAUCAUUAGUCUUUUAAUUGGAGGCUAGAAUGAAUGGUUGAACGAGGUGUAAACUGUCUCAGUAUAAUUGUAUUUAGAAUUUAACUUUUGAGUUAAAAGGCUCAAAUUUUAUUAAAGGACGAGAAGACCCUAUAGAGCUUUAUAUUUAAGAUUUAUAAUAUGUUUAUAGGAAAAAUAUAUGUAUUAUUUUGGAAGUAUUUUGUUGGGGUGACGGGAAGAUUAAUUAAACUCUUUUUAUUGUUUAACAUUGAUUUAUGAUUAGUUGAUCCAUUAUUAGUGAUUAUAAGACUAAGUUACC
rnacentral:rRNA from 1 species